AAAAUGCAAAGGAAUUUCGGUUCUAGUGGGGGUCAGCCACUAGAGGUAAGGGGGAAAGUCCGGUGCAAAUCCGGCGCUGUCCCGCAGCUGUAAUCAAGGCUUGCCUUGUGAGUCAGAAUGCCCGCCGAAGUUGACUUGUAAAU
rnacentral:ncRNA from 2 species